AAAAUGUGCUAUAGAAAUUUUAUAGAUCAUAACAUGUAAUUGUAGAAUCAUUAUAGUAUGGUUUAAUGUAUAAAAAAAAAGAUAAAAAAGAGUAAAAAAAUAAAUAAUAAUAAUAAUAAAGAUAAGUAAGUAAGAAGAUAAAAAGUAGAAUGGUCGAAAUUUUAUUUCAAUUAUUUCUUAAGUUAUGAAGUAUACACUAUGUGAGUGAGCUUAAACAGUCGAAACCUCCUAUUUCUAUAAAGAUCCGAUAUAAUAAUAACAUAAACGAUAAUAACACUAUAAAUUGAUAACAAGCUUAAAUUAUAAAUUUUGUUUUAACGUGUAUUGUGACACGGUGGUCUCUCUAUCGGGAGGAGUACAGACUUUUAAUUGUUGUGCUGUAAUUACCGCUGAAGUAGAGUUAUGUGAAAAAACCUUAAGGAUAGAUACUUUAUGAUUUUAAUUUAAGUUGCCUAUUAGCUGUUUGUAAGGGUAUGAUCCGAUAAAUGUAUUUAAUUAAUAUAUCGUAAAAAUUAUUAAACAAUUUAAAAAUUAUUAGACAAUUUAACAAAGUAUUAUCUAAAUGUACCGAAAUGGAAGUAUAUACGGACAAAAUUUAUUCCUUAUUCUUUACUCUUUCUCAUUAUUUAGUACGUCUUGUAUGUAACUAAGGAUUCUUUAAAUUAUAUAUUAUAACAUGACGGGGUCGUCAUUAAAUUUCGAUCGGGGAGAUGUUAGGUAGGGGUAUAGUGAAUUGAGGGUGAAUUGGUUUGCAAUAUCUCAGGUUUGCAAUAUCUCACGGCCUGUAUUAUACUUAUAGUAAUUUAUAGAAUAGUUUUACUAAAAGACUGGUAGUCGGUCUAGACUGGUAGUCAGAUUAGUUUUGAAGUCUUUAUCAGUAGGGUUGCAAUGUCCCACGGCGUGAAGCUGUAGUUAGUAUUUUAAGUCUUCGUAAAUUAGUAGUUAUUUAGAAUUGUGAAGUUCCCGGUGGGAAAAGCAGUGGCUUAAAGAUUGUUAAAGUUUCAAAUUUAUUAGAGCUUAUAGUUAAAAGAAUACUUACAAUUAUUUUAACAGCAUUGAUUAUUGAUUAUUGUGUUGACGAACUAGCCGAGGUGUUACAAGAGUGCCAUGAGAAUCAACUCCCCCUUCAACUCCCCAAAGACCUGUCAACCAGCACUAUACAAAAAGGGAAGCUCGCCUGCUGCUCGCUGCCUUUCGCCUUCUGCAUUCACCUGUCUCCUAUCAUGGCCCGGGGUCUUGUUCUGCUGUGUCCGUUCUCUCUCCACAUGUUACUCAUUUCUAUUAUAGAUUCCUCGCACUACUAGUACUACCUGUUCCCGAUAGAUCCUUCCAGAAUUAGGCUAUUGAGUUCCUUUCCUGAGGCAAUAUGACGGUGAUACCCACCCCACUUGUUCUGCCUGUCCUCACCUAAGCUCCACCAGUCGUAUUGCUUCAUUGAUUCCCCCCUCCUUCCUCGAGAACCGUUCGGCACUAUGUUAGAUCCUCGAGAUGACCAUGCAAGAUGGUUCAGUUCUAGUUGACAUUCCACUAUAUGAAAAGACCAGAUCGCCACUUUAUAUUCUUAUUCCUUGAGAGAGAGAGAGAACCGGAACAGCGACCUCGUGAAUCAUCCUAUUUAAUCGCUUCACCCUCGCCACAUUCGCUACUACUUCAAUUAUUGGGGUAAAUGGACAUUAACACUAAGUUAUGAGAUAUGAGAGUUAAAUUAAUAUUGUAGUCCUAUUUAACCCAAUUAUUUUACAACCCUUUAUUAACUUGUUUUAAUUGGUUAUCUUCCAGAUACAAAUUCGCAUAAAAUUCUGAAGUCCAUAAUUACAAUAGAAAUUACUGUCCUAAAAAUGUAUCCGUACAAAGAGAGUUUGGGUUUGAACUGUGCCCUGAGUGAGUCUCAAACCGGGAGGUAUUCCAUAAUAUCGGAACUUGAAUUUCCAUACUCUAGUUAAAAGGAGCCCAUUAUACGUAGUUAAAUUAAUACCAUCACAAUUUAAUGAAAUAUAAUAAAUAAAUAAUCUCUAGAAGUCAUGGAAAAUUGGAGCAUUAAA